GAGAACCUUUUUCUUAGGUUGGUACCUGCUUUUGUUGAAAAGAUGUUGACAUAUGCAGAUUUACAAUCUGGAACGAAGUGGAUAUCAUACCUAAAUGUCAUUAGAGAAAAUUUAAUAUCCGAUGAACAGAAGUUGAACAUUGCCAUCAAUCUCCUGCCAUGUAUUCUUCCCACUGGAAGAAAUAAUAAAAGAAGAUGCAGCAUUGAUGAAGCAAUGAGAUCUUUUUUGGAUGUUCAACCUAUUGGCACAAAUAUGCCGAAGUACCUAGAGGAAGCAAGUCGAUCACCGUUUAUAUUGGUUACUGGUAUUCGAGACAC